rnacentral:rRNA from 1 species
UACGGAGGGUGCGAGCGUUGUCCGGAAUCACUGGGCGUAAAGGGCGCGUAGGCGGCGCGGUGAGUCAACGGUGAAAGCUCGGCGCUCAACGCCGAGUCGGCCGUCGAUACUCCCGUGCUCGAGCACUGUAGAGGCAGGUGGAAUUCCGGGUGUAGCGGUGGAAUGCGUAGAGAUCCGGAAGAACACCGGUGGCGAAGGCGGCCUGCUGGGCAGUAGCUGACGCUGAGACGCGAAAGCGUGGGGAGCAAACAGG